rnacentral:misc_RNA from 1 species
GAUGAAGAACCGUAGCGAAAUGCGAUACGUAAUGUGAAUUGCAGAAUUCAGUGAAUCAUCGAAUCUUUGAACGCACAUUGCGCCCGCCAGCACUCUGGCGGGCAUGCCUGUUCGAGCGUCAUUUCAACCAUCAAGCCCCAGGCUUGCGUUGGAGCCCUGCGGCUGCCGCAGCCUCCUAAAAGCAGUGGCGGGCUCGCUAUCACACCGAGUGCAGUAGAUUACUCUUCGCUCAGGGCGUGCAGCGGGUUCCGGCCGUGAAACCCCCUACUUUUAAAGGUUGACCUCGGAUCAGGUAGGAAUACCCGCUGAACUUAAGCAUAUCAAUAAGCGGAGGA